rnacentral:tRNA from 1 species
GUUUAAUUAGUUUAUUAAAAAUAAUAGAUUGUGGAUUUAUAGAUGAGCGAACUCAUUAAACA